rnacentral:siRNA from 1 species
GUUUCGUCUUCGAUGUUGUUGAGA